rnacentral:lncRNA from 1 species
AGAGACCAGGGAGAGGAGAGAGGACAGUCCAUCUUAGGUGACGAGAGAGCAGGAGAGGGGGACCGUCCAUCAUAGGUGACUAGAGACCAGGGGAGAGUGGACAGUCCAUCUUAGAUGACUAGAGACCAGGGAGAGGAAAGAGUCAAAUUGAUCCACUAAACCUUUCUUAAAGAGUGGAUAAACUGUGGCGUGUGUAUUGGUGUUCAGGUUAUGGACAGAGGAUAAGGUGUGUGGUGUGUGUGAUCCUACGAGGGAUUAGCAGGAUUAGUGCUUGUGUGUUUUACGUCUCUCUAUGGUUCUGUGUGUGUGUUCCUCGUCAGGCGUGGGAGAACCACUUGCUGUGUGUGUUUUACGUCCUCUAUGGUUCCGUGUGUGGUGUUUUACGUCUAUCUAUGGUUCCGUGUGUGUGUUCCUCGUCGGAGUGGGAGAACCCUUGCUGUGUGUGUUUUACGUCUCUCUAUGGUUCCGUGUGUGGGUGUUUUACGUCUAUCUAUGGUUCCGUGUGUGUGUUCCUCGUCAGGCGUGGGAGACCACUUGCUGUGUGUGUUUUACGUCUCUCUAUGGUUCCGUGUGUGUGUUUCCUCGUCAGGCGUGGGAGAACCACUUGCUGUGUGUGUUUUACACUCUCUAUGGUUCCGUGUGUGUCCUCAUCAGGCGUGGGGAGAACCACUUGCUGAGGAACCGUUCCCAUCGUGGUGGAUCUGUUCCACGGCCAGCUCAAGUCCCAGUCAAGUGUAAGACGUGUGGUCACUCAGCGCCCGCUUCGACCCUUCAACUUCCUGUCUUUACCCCUCCCCAUGGACAGCUCCAUGCACCUGGAGAUCACUGUCAUUAUGCUGGAUGGUUCUACCCCUGUACGGUCGGCCUGAGGCUCAACAUGGAUGACAAGUACACCGGUCUAAAGAAGAAACAGCUGAGUGAACUGUGUAGUCUGAAACCAGAACAGAUACUACUGGCUGGGUCCACACCUCCAACAUCAAGGUACACACACUGAUGUCAACACACACAACACUGAUGUGACACACAACACACACACCACACACACACACACACACACUGAUGUACACACACACACACACACAUACACUGUACACACCCACACAACACACAUACACUGAUGAACCACACACACACACACACACAUACACUGAGACACACACACACACACACACACACACACCACUGAAACACACACACACACACCACUGAUACACACACCACACACACACACAACACACACACCACACUGAUGUACACACACACAACACUGAUGUACACACACACACACCACGAUGUACACACACACACACAUGAUGUACACACACACCACACACUGAUGUACACACACACACACUGAUGUACACACACACACACACAACACACACACACAAUGAUGUACACACACACUGAUGUGCACACACACGCCCACACUGAUGCGCACACACACACACACUGAUGUGUACACACACACACAACACACACACACUGAUGUGCACACACCACACACAUGCACAUACACACUGCUACAACCACUGAUGUCACGCACACCACACACACACUGAUGUACCCGCACACACACACACACUGAUGUACACACACACACCCGCACACUGAUGCGCACACAAAGUGCACACAGGGAGUAGUAUUGUGUGUUUUUGUGUGUGGUUAGAACUUCCCUCAGGAUAACGAGAAGGUGCGUCUGCCGGGGAACGGCUUCCUGUGCGCGUUGAGAUCCUGUCCAGGCCUCCCCACCUCCCUCACCUCCCUCUCUCUCCAACACAGACAGGUGGAGAACC